UAAAGAGUCUGUAGGCGUCCUGCUAAGUCCCUGGUUAAAGUCCACCGCUCAACGGUGGUAGAGCCGGGGAAACUGACAGGAUUGAGGUUGGGAGAGGUAAGCGGAAUUGCCGGUGUAGUAGUGAAAUGCGUUAAUAUCGGCAAGAACACCAAAGGCGAAGGCAGCUUACUAGAACACACCUGACGCUGAGAGACGAAAGCGUGGGGAGCGAAUGGGAUUAGAUACCCCAGAUAGUCCACGCCCGUAAACGAUGGAUGCUAGGCAUUGGCAGUAUCGACCCUGCCAGUGUCGUCUAACCAAGUUAACACCUUAAGCAUCCCGCCUGGGGAGUACGGCCGCGAGGCUAAAACUCAAAGGAAUUGACGGGAACCCGCACAAGCGGUGGAGCAUGUGGUUCAAUUCGACGAUGAGCGAAGAACCUUACCAAGGCUUGACAUGUAAGCGUCCUAUUCCCUGGAAACAGGGGAAAUUCGCAAGAAGGCUUACACAGGUGCUGCAUGGCUGUCGUCAGCUCGUGUCGUGAGAUGUUGGGUUAAGUCCUCCAACGAGCGCAACCCCUAUGUUGUGUUACAAUGUUCACAACAAACUGCCCAGGUUAACUGGGAGGAAGGCGGGGAUGACGUCAAGUCAGCAUGGCCCUUAUGCCUUGGGCUACACACGUGCUACAAUGGGGUGCAACAAUGGGGCGCGAAGCCGCGAGGCGGAGCCAAUCCCACCAAACCACCCCCCAGUUCGGAUUGGAGGCUGCAACUUGCCUCCAUGAAGCCGGAAUCGCUAGUAAACGCGC
rnacentral:rRNA from 1 species